AUUGAACGCUGGCGGCAGGCCUAACACAUGCAAGUCGAGCGGAUGAAGGGAGCUUGCUCCUGGAUUCAGCGGCGGACGGGUGAGUAAUGCCUAGGAAUCUGCCUGGUAGUGGGGGAUAACGUCCGGAAACGGGCGCUAAUACCGCAUACGUCCUGAGGGAGAAAGUGGGGGAUCUUCGGACCUCACGCUAUCAGAUGAGCCUAGGUCGGAUUAGCUAGUUGGUGGGGUAAAGGCCUACCAAGGCGACGAUCCGUAACUGGUCUGAGAGGAUGAUCAGUCACACUGGAACUGAGACACGGUCCAGACUCCUACGGGAGGCAGCAGUGGGGAAUAUUGGACAAUGGGCGAAAGCCUGAUCCAGCCAUGCCGCGUGUGUGAAGAAGGUCUUCGGAUUGUAAAGCACUUUAAGGUGGGAGGAAGGGCAGUAAGUUAAGACCUUGCUGUUUGGACGUUACCAACAGAAUAAGCACCGGCUAACUUCGU
rnacentral:rRNA from 1 species